rnacentral:rRNA from 1 species
UCUGGGAUUAGAUACCCUGUUAUUGAAAAUGUUAAUAAAAAAUAUAGAGUAGUAUUAGUUAUGUUCUUAAAACUUAAUAAAUUUGGCGGUAUUUUACUCUAAUCAGAGGAACUUGUUUUAUAAUUGAUAAUCCUCAAUGUAUCUUACUUAAUUUUAUUGAGUUUGUAUACCGUCGUCAUAAGAAUUUCUUAAAAAAGAAAAAAAUUUCUAAAAUUUAAAUUUAUAAUUAUGUCAGAUCAAGGUGCAGCUUAUAAUUAAGAAAAAAUGAGUUACAAUAAAAAUAUUUAAACGGAAUUAAUAAAUUAAAAUUUUUAAUUAAGGUGGAUUUGGUAGUAAAUUGAAUAAUUGAGUUUAUUUGAAAAUAGUUCUAAAAUAUGCACAAAUCGCCC